rnacentral:rRNA from 1 species
UACGUAGGCAGCGAGCGUUGUUCGGAGUUACUGGGCGUAAAGAGUGCGUAGGCGGUUUUCUAAGUUUGGUGUGAAAUCUCCCGGCUUAACUGGGAGGGUGCGCCGAAAACUGGAAGGCUUGAGUAUGGGAGAGGUAAGCGGAAUUCCUGGUGUAGCGGUGGAAUGCGUAGAGAUCCGGAAGAACACCGGUGGCGAAGGCGGUCUGCUGGGCAGUAGCUGACACUGAGGCGCGACAGCGUGGGGAGCAAACAGG